GAUGAACGCUGGCGGCGUGCCUAAUACAUGCAAGUCGAGCGAACAGACGAGGAGCUUGCUCCUCUGACGUUAGCGGCGGACGGGUGAGUAACACGUGGAUAACCUACCUAUAAGACUGGGAUAACUUCGGGAAACCGGAGCUAAUACCGGAUAAUAUAUUGAACCGCAUGGUUCAAUAGUGAAAGACGGUUUUGCUGUCACUUAUAGAUGGAUCCGCGCCGCAUUAGCUAGUUGGUAAGGUAACGGCUUACCAAGGCAACGAUGCGUAGCCGACCUGAGAGGGUGAUCGGCCACACUGGGACUGAGACACGGUCCAGACUCCUACGGGAGGCAGCAGUAGGGAAUCUUCCGCAAUGGGCGAAAGCCUGACGGAGCAACGCCGCGUGAGUGAUGAAGGUCUUCGGAUCGUAAAACUCUGUUAUUAGGGAAGAACAAAUGUGUAAGUAACUAUGCACGUCUUGACGGUACCUAAUCAGAAAGCCACGGCUAACUACGUG
rnacentral:rRNA from 1 species